rnacentral:tRNA from 1 species
GGGCACGUGGCCUAGCCAGGAAUGGCGGCUGCCUCCUAAGCAGCAGGUCCGGGGUUCGAAUCCCUCCGUGCCCGCCA